rnacentral:rRNA from 1 species
UCAGUAACACGUGGCUAACCCACCCUUAGGACGGGGACAACCCCGGGAAACUGGGGCUAAUACCCGAUAGGUGAGGAGGCCUGGAAUGGUUCCUAGUCGAAAAGGCGUCGAAACCAUGCUUUUCGACGUCGCCUAAGGAUGGGGCCGCGCCCGAUCAGGUUGUUGGUGGGGUAACGGCUCACCAAGCCUAUAACCGGUACGGGCCGUGAGAGCGGGAGCCCGGAGAUGGGCACUGAGACAAGGGCCCAGGCCCUACGGGGCGCAGCAGUCGCGAAAACUCCGCAAUGCGCGAAAGCGUGACGGGGCUACCCCGAGUGCCGUCCGCUGAGGAUGGCUUUUCCCCGGUGUAAUGAGCCGGGGGAAUAAGGAGAGGGCAAGUCUGGUGUCAGCCGCCGCGGUAAUACCAGCUCUCCGAGUGGUAGGGAUGAUUAUUGGGCUUAAAGCGUCCGUAGCCGGCUUAGCAAGUCUCCUGUUAAAUUCAGCGACCUAAUCGUUGAGCCGCGGGAGAUACUACUAGGCUAGGAGGCGGGAGAGGCCGACGGUAUUCUCGGGGUAGGGGUGAAAUCCUAUAAUCCCGGGAGGACCACCAGUGGCGAAGGCUGUCGGCUAGAACGCGCUCGACGGUGAGGGACGAAAGCUGGGGGAGCGAACCGGAUUAGAUACCCGGGUAGUCCCAGCUGUAAACGAUGCGGGCUAGGUGUUGGGGUGGCUACGAGCCACUUCAGUGCCGCAGGGAAGCCAUUAAGCCCGCCGC